UCCGACGGCCCGGCAGGUGUGGGAUGCAGUGCACUGUUGUCCGAUCUCCUCCCAAUAUUGCACUCGUCCCGGCCUCCCGGACCCUCGGGACAC
rnacentral:miRNA from 1 species